UACGGAGGAUCCAAGCGUUAUCCGGAUUUAUUGGGUUUAAAGGGUGCGUAGGUGGUUUAUUAAGUCAGGGGUGAAAGACGGCAGCUUAACUGUCGCAGUGCCUUUGAUACUGAUGAACUUGAAUGAACUAGAGGUAGGCGGAAUGUGACAAGUAGCGGUGAAAUGCAUAGAUAUGUCACAGAACACCAAUUGCGAAGGCAGCUUACUAUGGUUUUAUUGACACUGAGGCACGAAAGCGUGGGGAUCAAACAGG
rnacentral:rRNA from 1 species